ensembl:snoRNA
GUGCAAGCCUCCAGCGUAUUUGGGUCUGUGGUGACCCUGUGCAUUCGUACAGAACUUGUGAGAACAAGAUAAAAUGGUUUGAGGUCUUGCUCAGCUCCAGAGAGAGCAAAGUUAUAAAAAUUUCAGACAAUU